rnacentral:rRNA from 1 species
CUUGCCCUCUUUCUGCAUUCUUAACACAUGCAAGUCGAGCGAGCGGCGGACGGGUGAGUAAUGUCUGGGAAACUGCCUGAUGGAGGGGGAUAACUACUGGAAACGGUAGCUAAUACCGCAUACCAUCGGAUGUGCCCAGAUGGGAUUAGCUAGUAGGUGGUGUACCUGCUCACCUAGGCGACGAUCCCUAGCUGGUCUGAGAGGAUGACCAGCCACCAUGCAAAUGAGACAAGGUCCAGACUCCUACGGGAGGCAGCAGUGGGGAAUAUUGAACAAUGGGCGCAAGCCUGAUGCAGCCAUGCCGCGUGUAUGAAGAAGGCCUUCGGGUUGUAAAGUACUUUCAGCGGGGAGGCGUUACCCGCAGAAGAAGCACCGGCUAACUCCGUGCCAGAAGCCGCGGGAAUUC